ensembl:lncRNA
AGCAACUGGAGGAAGAUGAGGAGGAGCAGCUGGAGGAGGAGGAGCUGGGGAGGAGCAUCUAGAGGAGGAGUGGGAGGAGGAGUAGCUGGAGGAGAAGGAAGGAGCUGGAGGAAGAGGAAGAGCAGGAGGAAGAGAAGCUGGAGAAGAAGGAGCAACUGGAGGAAGAUGAGGAGGAGCAGUUGGAGGAGCAGGAUCUGGGGGAGGAGCAGCUGGAGGAGCUGCUGGAGGAGCAGGAAGAAUGGGAGUGGGCACAGCUGGAGGAAGAGCUGGAGGAGAAGGAAUCCAAUGCAUCCAGAGCCAUGAGUUCCCAGUGCCUGUCACUGAGCUGAGAUGACAGAUUUACCCGAGAUGAUAUGCUGAGGCAAUAUGCAUUUGAGCUCACAAGUCCUGGAACCAGCCCCCGUGACACUGCUGAGCCCUGCGGUGACUUCGAGGGCACGAGCUGAGGGUUUGGCUGCAGAUGGACGCUCUGGGUUGCCUCGUGCUUCUGGAAGCCAGUCCUGGCUUUCCUUUGAAUCUGAGGACUUUACUCAUUUUUAUUCAUUUGUGAAGAAGGGACCAUCCAAAUGUUUUAUGAAACCAACACAGGAGAACAUUAAUGGAUCAAAUUUUGCCUUUGAAGAGGCAGAGGUCAGUGUGCGUUUGGGCAGGAGACACGACAUGCCGGGGACAAGUCUGCGCGUGGGUGAGCUUCGUCCCGUGAGCUUCUUUCUAUUCCAGAGGGCUCUGAAGGAGGGUGGAUUUGUAUUCCUGUCUCUCCCUCCCUCAGGAUGAGGCUGUGUGCUUACUGGAAAAACAGAAACAGUGAGAACUCAGCCAUCUUCGGACGGAAAAAGCCCCUUGUUUCUUUUGUCUUUUUAGUGGAACCAGACCAUGAGGACACAAGGGCCAGAGGGAGGCCCUUCCCAUGCCUCUCCCUGUGCUGUGUUACUGCUCACCUGAGUGUGGAACUACACUCUGACAAGAAAGAAGCACAUUAAGUCUUAAUUUAGCCUGAACUAAGCACAUACGUUGAAGCCAGAUUACUUCUACUAGCUUUGCCAAGACUGUGGCCUCUAGGGCAAGACUUCCCUGUUUUCUUAGAAUUUUGAAAUGCCACCUUCAGCUCAGUAGGGCAGUAUGCUCCUGUGAUACCAGGGAUCGGGAAGCAGAAGAACAAUUGUGAGUUCAAGGCCAGCCCAGGCAACACAGCACCCUAGACUCCAUCUCAUAAAACAACAACAAAACAAAGACAUCUCAAAUCAUAGCAACCCAACAACAAAUGAAAAACCCCUGUUACCACUCAUGCUAUUUACCACUCAGAUCCACUAAAAAAGAUUCUCCAAGACUGGGGGCUUGACCAAGAGUUAAGAACAUUAGCUGCUCUUGCAGAGGACCUAGGUUCAAUUCCCAGCACUUACAAGGUAGCUCACAACCAUCUGUAACUCCAGUCCAGGAGGAUCUGAUGCUUUCUUUUGGCCUCUGUACCCACAUGGUGUGUAGAUAUGCAUGCAGACAAACCACUAUACACAUAAAAUAAAACUAAGGGAAAUAAAUCUGUCUUGUGUACACACACAUGAAGACUACUGUUUCACUCACCACAUAUUCUAUACUUGUUCUAAAGAUAUAAGCAUUUUGUUGUCUUUCCUGAGUCCACUCCUCUCACUGAUAUUUGCUGGCAGCUUUUGGUUGAAUACCUACAUUUUUGGUCAAACACAAAGUCCUGCUCUUGCAGUGUUUAUUUUCUAAUAGGAGAGGGGAGGGUGCUACCAAAUUGACUACCAAGAUCACUGUAGACAGUGAGGGUGCUAUUAGGGAAAUAAGACUGUAACAUGCAGAACAUUGGAGUGCAGGUGGAGAGUCAUUCAAGUCAGACUUGGGCCUACUUCUGAGCAUCCAUACAAAGGAGAUAAAAUCACUGUCUCAAAGAAAGCUUCAGAAACUGGGGAGCCGGCUUCGUUAAGAGCACUGGCUGCUCUUGCAGAGGACCCAGUUCAGAUCCCAGCAGCUAUACUGGCAGGCCUGUAACUCCA